rnacentral:rRNA from 1 species
AGUGAACGCUGGCGGCGUGCCUAACACAUGCAAGUCGAACGAGAACGGAUUUAAGCUUGCUUAAAUUGUCAGCUAAGUGGCGCACGGGUGAGUAAUGUAUAGUUAACCUGCCUUUAAGAAAGGGAUAACAAUUAGAAAUGAUUGCUAAUACCUCAUAUGCCUUUUAGUCAUAAGAUUGUAAAGGGAAAUGCUUUAGUGCUUAAAGAUGGGACUGUAUGGUAUCAGAUAGUUGGUGGGGUAAUGGCCUACCAAGUCAAUGACGCUUAACUGGUUUGAGAGGAUGAUCAGUCACACUGGAACUGAGACACGGUCCAGACUCCUACGGGAGGCAGCAGUGGGGAAUAUUGCACAAUGGAGGGAACUCUGAUGCAGCAACGCCGCGUGGAGGAUGACACAUUUCGGUGCGUAAACUCCUUUUAUAUAGGAAGAUAAUGACGGUACUAUAUGAAUAAGCACCGGCUAACUCCGUGCCAGCAGCCGCGGUAAUACGGAGGGUGCAAGCGUUACUCGGAAUCACUGGGCGUAAAGAGCAUGUAGGCGGAUUAAUAAGUUUGAAGUGAAAUCCUAUAGCUUAACUAUAGAACUGCUUUGAAAACUGUUAAUCUAGAAUAUGGGAGAGGUAGAUGGAAUUUCUGGUGUAGGGGUAAAAUCCGUAGAGAUCAGAAGGAAUACCGAUUGCGAAGGCGGUCUACUGGAACAUUAUUGACGCUCAGAUGCGAAAGCGUGGGGAGCAAACAGG